AAUAAUUUAGUUCGUUAACGCAAGUGCAUUUGAAUGGGAAAAAUGCUAAAUUCAUCAGUAUAGUUGUUAGUUUCUUUGUAAAAUGGUAAAUGAAAACGGUCCCAGACAUGGCAGCGGUGGUAGCCAAUAAUUUGAAGGAGUAAAUGCACUAGAUACCGGAUAGAGAGAACCAGAAUGUGGAGCGAAACGACAUUUAUAGAAGGGCGAGAAUUAAAAGGCAACGGGGGCGUUAAACAUUUCUCCCGGAUGGUGAUAAAGUGAAUCGCAUUGGAAUUAUUUGUAUAGCAAAAGUUGCCGACAUGAAUGUCCCUGAAGUAUAUUCGAAACAUUGGUUUCUACAAAAAGACUAUAGAUUAGAACUGCUGCAACCAAAUGGAGUAAAUAAAUGUGAAUAAUAUGUAA